CUAGUAUUCCUUACGUUGCUACUGUCAGGUCACACCCUCAUACACUGCUUCUGACUGGCUAGUAGUCCUUACCUAGCUACUGAGCAUGUGCAACUCCCAACAAAGAUGUUACAGCAGUGAGAGGUCUCACUCUGUAGCUAAAACAGAG